GCCCCGGACCGGCAUUCCGCUUGGUAUGCUCCAAGAUGGCGGCACCCAUAGUGCGGCGCGGGAUCCUCCUGGCGCGGAAAGUGUUGCUGCCUCAGCUCUCCCUGGCAGGUAAAAGAUGCCUGCUUUCUGCAGCCUAUGUGGACAGCCACAAAUGGGAAGCAAGAGAAAAAGAAGAUUGUCACCUUGCUGAUCUAGCAUCUUUAAUGGAUAAAACAUAUGAGAGAAAGCUGCCUGUUAGUUCUUUGACAAUAUCACGGUUUGUGGACAACAUUUCAUCUCGAGAAGAGAUAGACCAUGCAGAGUAUUACCUUUACAAAUUCCGACACAGCCCUAACUGCCAGUACCUGAGAGAUUGGACUAUACACACCUGGAUUAGGCAGUGUCUAAAAUACGGUGCACAAGACAAAGCCUUAUAUACCGUUGUAAAUAAGGUCCAGUAUGGCAUUUUUCCUGAUAACUAUACAUUUAAUUUACUGAUGGAUUAUUUCAUAAAGAAAGAAAACUACAAAGAUGCUUUAUCCGUGGUUUUUGAGAUCAUGAUGCAAGAAGCCUUUGAAGUUCCUUCCACUCAACUCCUCUCUCUAUAUAUUUUAUACCAUUGCCUGGCAAAGAAGACAGACUUCAGUUGGGAAGACGAGAAGAACUUUGGUGCAUCCCUGUUACUCCCGGGCCUAAAGCAGAAGAACCCAGUGGGGUUGAGCUCCCAGUUGUACGGCUAUGCGCUUCUUGGGAAGGUGGAGUUGCAGCAAGGGCUGUGGGCUGUGUACCAUAACAUGCCUCUGCUGUGGCGACCAGGCUACCUUGACAGAGCCCUUCAAGUGAUGGAGAAGGUGGCCUCCUCCCCAGAAGAUGGAAAGCUGUGUAGAGAAGCGCUCGACGUGCUAGACAGAGCGCUGAAGGCUCUGACCGCUCCAUCCCCUGGGUCUUCAGAGGAGCAACCCCAAGAGGGUGAGGAGGGCCAGCGGCCAGAAGAAGUCCUGGAGCAGUUGGAUGUGGAGGAGACUGAACAGUCCAAGCUUCCCCAAUACCUGGAACGAUUUGAGCACCACUGACCACCCCCUUAGAAGCUCGGUGACUACAGCAGACAGUCUGGGUCUGUUCUGGCACUGCUUUCCUGUGCUCACGAGCAUUCAUGUGGCACAUACUGCGUGCUGGGCACUGUGCACAGUGAUUUGGAGGUUACACAGUCUCUCCUUAGGACAAUACUCUAAAAUGUGAGCCAGCUCUCAGACAAGACUGGAUACCAACCUUUGGCAAGAGGAAGGUUCAAAAAGACUAAGCCAGUCAGGACAUACCAGCGAAGGUAAGGGGCAUGUGGCAGCCAAAAUUCUCAGUCUAAAUCACAAAGCCCGGGUAAGGUAAAGAUUAACUCGAAAGCUUCUUGGCACCUUGUUGGGUGAGCUGGCUUUCUGAUUUGUUCUAAUUAGAAGACUUAAACUUUUUGAAACAUUAAUAGAAGUAGCAUUCUAAGGCAGUGUUUCUUCACCCUGGUUGCAUGAUUAGAAUCAUUUAGAAUGCUUAAUACUAAUGCCCGGGGCCCAGGCACCAGGCCCCAGAAUCUGGCUUAACUGGGCUGGGGCAGGACCUGGGCACCACCAUUUUUUAAAACUAUUCCAGAUGAUGCCAAUGUGUAUGUGGUUCGAGACCACUGCUGUAAAGCCAUUUAAAAUGCCAGUCAGAUCUUACCUUUCUACAGAGGAUGUAUAAAGACUGUCAUCCCAGAGUCAAAACUAGUAAUGAAUUCCGUCAGUCGUCUCAUUUUAUUUUCAGGGGGAUGGGGGAGUGGUGAGAAUCAGCCAAACUAGUAUUUAGACAAACUGACUAAUUUUAUGAGCAGAUUAAACAGCCAUUUUAAUGAACCUAAGCUCAAACCCCUCAACAUAUCCAUGUGUUAGGUCUCCCAAAGAAUUCUGAUUUGUAGCAGAAGUUUAUGGGUUUCAUUUCUCCUCAUAAUUAAAAAAUGUCCAGUUUCCUCUUGCACACUGAAUCACUGCCAUCAACACCAAAGCAAUAUUGCUCAGAGAAGCCGAAACAGAGGGAACUGCCAGAAGCCAAACCAGGUUUGUUUUCAAAAUCAAUCAAUAGUGCAAUUUGUCUUUUUAGAAAUCUGUUGGGAAAGUAAAUGCAAAUUAACUCAGCCUCAAAAUUAUCUCUAAAUGACAAAAAAAAGUUUAAAAAAGAUCUGUUAUGUGGGCUAGUGUGUAUGUUUGGCAAGUUUGGUAACACAUUUCAGUGGGGUUUUAUCUGUUUGAAUGGAUUUUCAUGUUUUCUCCUGAGUACAGGUCAGCUGUCAAGGCCUUCAGAUGAAGGAGUUAAUUAUCUGGUGGUUUUCUAUUAAUUCUAAGCACAAAUUCAGUUUGUUUCUACAUGCAAGUAAAAAGAGGAAAUCUGAUUAAGACCUGAGUCUUGAAAUUGAUGCUCCAUGUUGUUUAAAAGUAAAAAAAUUGUAGUUGUAACUAACAACAGUACAUUUAGUGCCUAAAACGUACUGAAUUUGAGUGUCCCGAUGUUUCAUCCAUCAGAUUUUCCUUAAUAAAUCAAGGAAGUGUUGCUUAAAUUAUUUUUUGCUUUACAUGUUUGGGUCAAGUUAUGUUACUUUGUGAACUGUCAUCUAAAAAUUCCUGAAUAAAUUUGUAAAGCAAAUAAAAUCUAUUAAUUCAAAUCCCUGUGAUUGGUUUGAACAAAGAGGAAUUUCCAUCUGAAACAGAAUUCUGAGUCUGUUAGGCUGUGUGGUCAGAGAGGGAGAUAAAAGAGAGCCUUCAAUGCUUUUCUCUCAAUUUGUACUGGGUACCCACUGGUCAGCUGAAUUCGCUGGUUGAUAAAACAGAGCAUUGCCUUUGAUGGGGACGUAUCUCCAGCCUGGUGUUUUUAUUUUUCUAAGAUUUUUAAUUUUAAGAUGUUAUAAUUUUAUUUAAAAUAUUUUUUAUUUAAAAAAAUGGAACCUAAAUCUUGGGUCUACAAUGGUUAUUCCAGGCUUGGCUUAGAACUCUGGU